rnacentral:rRNA from 1 species
UACAGAGGGUGCAAGCGUUAAUCGGAGUUACUGGGCGUAAAGGGCGCGUAGGCGGUUAUAUAAGUUGGAUGUGAAAUCCCCGGGCUUAACCUGGGAAUGGCAUUCAAGACUGUAUAACUGGAGUCUUGUAGAGGGUAGUGGAAUUUCCGGUGUAGCGGUGAAAUGCGUAGAGAUCGGAAGGAACAUCAGUGGCGAAGGCGGCUACCUGGACAAAGACUGACGCUGAGGCGCGAAAGCGGUGGGGAGCAAACAGG